GGGGGAACCAUGGCGACUUCUCUCGUCGGAGCAUUCUUAUCCCCCUCCCCCAUCCCCAUUCCCCGGCUCACCCGACCCACCACCGCCGCCACAGCCGUCUCCCUCCUCUCCACCCCGCGCGGCCACUCUUCCCUCCCCCUCCGCUCUCGCAUCCCUGCCGCCGCUAGGAAAUGGACGCUCUCCGCCGCUCCGGAAGCACUGGAGGCCGAGGAAGCUCCGGCGGAGCCGGAGCCGGUCGAGGCACAGAUCGCCGCUUCUGAGGCGAGCGAAGCUCCGAAGGGCGAGGACGUCUUUGCUGUGGUCAUGAUCGGGUCUCGGCAGUACAUUGUGUUCCCGGGGCGGUUCAUCACCACGCAAAGGCUAAAGGGGGCGAAUGCUGAUGACAAGAUCAUCCUGAGCAAAGUACUGCUGGUCGGUACCAGAACAAAAACAUACAUCGGGCAGCCAGUUGUAACAAAUGCUGCUGUGCAUGCAGUUGUGGAAGAACAGGGACUGAAUAAAAAGGUGAUUGUCUACAAGUACAAGCGAAAGAAGAACUAUAGGAGGAAUAUCGGCCACCGACAGCCGAACACGCGGAUCAGGAUUACUGGUAUCAGUGGGUACCAAGACUUCCCAGCCGAAACACUCGAGUCGAUUCCUGCAUGAGGUUCAUUCGCGGAGAAAUGCGUUGUGUUGUAACAUAAAGUUGUCGAUCAGCUUUUAGAGAUUGAAGGUUUACAUAAUUUUGUAUUGUGAAUUUACAUCUUCAGCUAGCCAGUUGAAUCUCGCGGAUUGCAUGUCAAGUUUACCAUUUCUUAUCAUCCAUC
rnacentral:misc_RNA from 1 species